AGGGUUCGAUUAUGGCUCAGAACGUACGCUGGCGGCACGCCUAACACAUGCAAGUCGAACGCAGCAGCAAUACUGAGUGGCGAACGGGUGAGUAUAAUGUGGGUAUCUGCCUUUUGGUUUGGAAUAACAUGAGGAAACUUGUGCUAAUACCGAAUAAGCCUUUACAGGGAAAGUUUUAACGCCGAAAGAUGAGCCCGCACUUGAUUAGCUAGUUGGUAAGGUAAAAGCUUACCAAGGCUACGAUCAAUAGCUGAUCUGAGAGGAUGAUCAGCCACAUUGGGACUGAGACACGGCCCAGACUCCUACGGGAGGCAGCAGUGGGGAAUCUUGCACAAUGGGGGAAACCCUGAUGCAGCGAUGCCGCGUGAGUGAAGAAGGCCUUUGGGUUGUAAAGCUCUUUCGUCGGGGAAGAAAAUGACUGUACCCGAAUAAGAAGGUCCGGCUAACUUCGUGCCAGCCGCCGCGGUAAUAC
rnacentral:rRNA from 1 species